UUAGUGGCGGACGGGUGAGUAACGCGUGGGGAACCUGCCUUGCACCGGGGGAUAACACUUAGAAAUAGGUGCUAAUACCGCAUAAGCGCACAGAGCCGCAUGGCUCGGUGUGAAAAACUCCGGUGGUGCAAGAUGGACCCGCGUCUGAUUAGCUGGUUGGCGGGGUAACGGCCCACCAAGGCGACGAUCAGUAGCCGGCCUGAGAGGGUGAACGGCCACAUUGGGACUGAGACACGGCCCAAACUCCUACGGGAGGCAGCAG
rnacentral:rRNA from 1 species